CACAGCAGUUUAUAUAGAUGAAAAAAGGUUCGUGUGUCAGCUUUCCCAGUUCAAACCGGUACAGACCAAAUAAGGAAACGUCUUCCUGCCUUCUGAGCAAAGUAUCCCUUGUGUAGUUUAUCAGUUCAGCUAUAAUUUAUGAUCAUCCCAGCAAAAUACACUCCUAGACAUAGAAUACAGAGUUCUUUCAUCAGUGAAUUCUGAAACGAACCACCUAGCCUUUAACGAGCCUUUUCCAGGAGAUAAAGAAAAAGGGAGGUUGGGAGUAAGGAAGUGGUCUCAUCUCUGUGGUGUUUUCGACCUUGAGGUACCAGCCUGUAAGUCUUACACAUUAAUUCUUGGGUCACAGAGAAAGAGAAAAACAACUAGUAGAUCGGCCUUAUUGAGUAACAGUUUUCCUGUAUAAAACAAUAUCCUGUAAAUGCUUACCGUGGUAUCAAAAUAUCAUAACAGUUUUGCUUCUUCAUUUUUUUUUCUUGCCCUUGCUGAUGGUCUCUCCUCUUCCACAACUCCCCAUAAACAGGUGUUAGCCUACUUGCCUACUUACACCAGAAUGUCAAAUACAUGGUCAGCAGUGGUGCUGUCUUACUGUUGGCAUGUUCUGCUUCACAAUGAGAGCUGCCAGCAGAACGUGCAGUUAUAUUUAGGGAUGGGUAUUGAUAAGAUUUUCACGAUUCCGAUUCCAUUUUCGAUUCCUUUUAACGAUUCGAUUCUUUAUCGAUUUUUUUUUUUUUUUUUAAAGGAGAACACUAAGGUCGAUUAGCUUAGAACUUUGUUUUAUAUCUUCUCUUUGAAAAAGAUAGAAAUUUAGGAGUAACAUGGCCUUACAAACCCAGCAGUGAAAUCUUAAGAGAUCCACAGCCUAUGGCUCUUCAAUGGGGUGUCACGGGGUCCCCGGGGGAAAAAAAUUGUAAAUGUAAAAUAAAUAUUCUUCUGUAGCAAAAACAAAGUAUAACAUAAAUUAUUCUGUAGCAACUACACAAGAAUAUCCAGUAAUGUCCCUGCCUACAAUUAAACACAUUCACUUACCGAAAAUCGGGGACAUCUGCUGUGGUAAAUAGGUGCAAGCCUUUUACCACAAACUCACUGCUCGGUGACAUUCGUCUAUCCUGGCCUGAAAGGAGACGCUACCAGUAGACUGCAGCGAGAACUGCCAGCAUCUGAGCCAGCCAGACUCUGUCUGUCUCUCUCAUCA
ensembl:lncRNA